AUAUUCCAGUCCCUUCUUUUCAAAUUCUAUCCUAGGCGGUUAACGUCCCCGAUCGCCGACGACCGGAAACCUACUCAAAGCUCAAGAUCAAGCUCAAGCUCGGGGUUCAUGUCUUCCCUCGAGCCUUCAGUGCCCAAUCAAUUAAGCAACAACCGUGAUUAUCCUGCAGGCCCCUUCUCAGCUUGUUCAUAUGAUCCUAAUAUGUGUCUCAUGAAGUGAGGCAACUUCGCAAUUGGUGAAACUAAAAUGGCUACAACUUUACAUGUUGGUGUCAUAAGGGACAUAUAUCAGUUGUAUGCUCCAAUUCAGUAAAUCUUUAAAAUGAUAAGUUUACUCUGCAAAACAAAAUGGCUCACCCUCAUGAGGCUUCCUGCUGUUGUCUCCAAACAGAACUGUUAUAUUAUCCAGUUCCAACCUCCCAUUAGAUCAAUUUGUAAAGUCCUAUCCCCCCCAAGCCAUCCCUACUCUUUCACCAUAUCUGAUAUUAUAGAAAGACCCCGUAGGUUUCCCAUCCCUGAAUCAGUAAUUGCUAGAUUUCAAUCCUCAAAGAAUCCUAAAUUGGUCCUGAAAUUACUCCAGGAUCAUAACUUUUCUGAAAGUCAGGUUAAAGUCCUUGUCUCACGGUGACCACUCGUCCUGUUAGCCAAACCGGAUAAAACUUUACAACCCAAAAUUGAUUUUCUCGUAUCGGUGGGAUUAUCACGACAAGAUAUUGUCAAAAUAAUCAUUCGUGAACCUUUUGUGCUUGCUAGAAGCCUGAAAGGACAUAUUAUCCCUGUAUUUGAUUUCCUUGAAAAUCUAUUUGGCAGCAAAGAAGAUGCAGCUAUAGUUUUUAAAAGGUGCCCAUUAAUCAGCCGCUACACUGUUAAAAAUUACUUGGCAUUGAAUAUUGCAACCUUGCGCGAUGUUGGUGUACCUGAUUCCCGGAUUUCAAAAUUGGCCAUCCGUUGUCCUUUUAUGAUUAUGACACAACCACAUCGUUUAAAGGCUGCUGCAGCUGCUGUUAAAGAACUGGGGCUCAAUCCAAAGUUGUCCGUCUUUGGCAUUGCAGUUACUAUAAUGGGCUGGUCUAGCAGGUCAAACUGGGAAGCAAAA